rnacentral:rRNA from 1 species
UACGGGGGGGGCAAGCGUUGUUCGGAAUUACUGGGCGUAAAGGGCUCGUAGGUGGCCAACUAAGUCGGACGUGAAAUCCCUCGGCUUAACCGGGGAACUGCGUCCGAUACUGGUUGGCUUGAGUUUGGGAGAGGGAUGCGGAAUUCCAGGUGUAGCGGUGAAAUGCGUAGAUAUCUGGAGGAACACCAAUGGCGAAGGCAGCUCGCUGGGACGGUACUGACGCUGAGGAGCGAAAGCGUGGGGAGCGAACAGG